rnacentral:rRNA from 1 species
UACGGAGGGAGCUAGCGUUGUUCGGAAUUACUGGGCGUAAAGCGCACGCAGGUGGCUGAGUCAGUCGAUUGUGAAAGCCCUGGGCUUAACCUGGGAAUUGCAGUCGAUACUACUCAGCUAGAGUAUGGGAGAGGGUAGUGGAAUUCCCGGUGUAGCGGUGAAAUGCGUAGAUAUCGGGAGGAACAUCAGUGGCGAAGGCGGCUACCUGGCCCAAUACUGACACUCAGGUGCGACAGCGUGGGGAGCAAACAGG